AUUGAACGCUGGCGGCAUGCCUUACACAUGCAAGUCGAACGGCAGCACGGGAGCAAUCCUGGUGGCGAGUGGCGAACGGGUGAGUAAUAUAUCGGAACGUGCCCAGUCGUGGGGAUAACGUAGCGAAAGCUACGCUAAUACCGCAUACGAUCUAUGGAUGAAAGCGGGGGAUCGCAAGACCUCGCGCGAUUGGAGCGGCCGAUAUCAGAUUAGGUAGUUGGUGAGGUAAAGGCUCACCAAGCCGACGAUCUGUAGCUGGUCUGAGAGGACGACCAGCCACACUGGGACUGAGACACGGCCCAGACUCCUACGGGAGGCAGCAGUGGGGAAUUUUGGACAAUGGGCGCAAGCCUGAUCCAGCAAUGCCGCGUGCAGGAUGAAGGCCUUCGGUUGUAACUAGCUUUGUACGGUAACGAAACGGUAGA
rnacentral:rRNA from 1 species